AAGAAAAAAGAAGCUAUUCUGUUUAAAAUCAAAGAUAUAAGAAUAAUGCAAGUAUCAGUUAAAGGUCAUUGGGACAGUACAGAUUAUUCUGCAAUAUUUUAUUUUCUACAGACACGUCUGUAUUAUCAUAAAUACCAUACAUUCUAAAUAUAAAUUUAUUUUCAUAUAACCCAAAGAGCUCAACACAAUAAUAUGUAUUAUCUUUUAAAGAAAAAACUUUAUAUGUUUUAAAGACAUUGAAAAUGUAAAAGAAUUGCUUUCACAUUAUUCAAAUAUUAGGUCAUGAAGCAUCAAGUAUUAAAAGGAAAAUACAAAAAGUUUUUCAAUCUUUUAUUAUGAAAAAACUCUUAUGUACAUAUGGAUCACUUUUCUCUGUGUCAGUGUAUAAGUAGAUAUCUACGGUCAUAACAAAUAUUAAUCUAUAUCUUUAAUAAAUUCCUUAAAGUAGUUCCUUUCACUCUGUUAAGUCUUGAUUGUUAGCGCCAGAACGACGACUGAUAGGCAAUAAAUAAAUCACGUGUACCCUUGUACCGAUCGUAUUGCACGGUUUCAAUAAGAACAGUCGGCUGAUUGAAUUGCUGAAUUCUAUUUAAAAAAUGUCCAACGAGACGGCUUAAGUAAUAAGUGCAUUUAAGUCACAACUCCACCUUGGCGGAUUGUUGAAAGAAAUCAUGAACUCUUUCACUGGCAGAAUAUUUCAUCUUUUAAGCUUCUUACCAAUUGCUCAUAUUCCACGAAAAUCUGAUAAUCGAGUGAUUGAUAUACUACUUUAAAAAGGAACAAGUAGGAAGUAUUCUCUUAGAAUUCCAUAAGUAUGUAAAAACAUUUAACACUCUAAGUUGUUAAUUAGUUACCUACAUCCUACAUACUUAAACACAUGAUACAGGACAGAACAUUUUGUUCUGAAUUAAGUUUUUGUUAACACAGAUUAAUUGCAAAAUAAAUGAAUUCACUAUAUUAGAAGACUCUAACUUUAUAGAGUCUGUUAAAUAGAUUAGAUUUAAUAGACAAGGAAUUUUCCUAGAGAAAUGCCUUAACAAAUACUUAUAAAUUAAUACAGUAAUCAUCCUAAUACUACUGUGACAUUUAUCACAAAAUUUUACUAUUUGUCAAAUACACAAACACUGUAUAAUUAAAUGAACAAGGUAUUUCUUCCCCUGUUCCAUCUGCCAAUGAAAGAGUGAAUCUCUGAAAGAGGCUUUUCUUUCCAUGGAAACUUUAUAUAACUCGCGUCUUUUUUAUCUUAGAAUUAGCUCUAGAAAAAUACAGUCUGUUUUUUUUCUAUUCACACACUGCUCAAACCAAACAACGAGCUUCUGAAUAAAAAUACAAUCUACUCAUGUUGGUUGGGCAGUGGCUGUUAAAUAGCAUCUGUAUAGAGUAUAAACUAUCUAAAUCUUUUUGGCUAGAUCCCCAUAAGAGGUUUCCCCCAAAAAAACGUGUAGAUAAAAAAGUAAAAUGGUGCAUCUAUCAUUGAGAAUCCUUGCUCCAUCUUCUUUCUCUCU